UUACACAAAUCCCGAGCCUCUACAUUUAGCGACUGUGCAUUUACCUAUAUUUCGCAAGAUCUAAACCAUUCUAAUAAUUUAACGACUCAUGAUAUGACACGUCAAUUUUUAACUUUAGACAUGUAUCUAUUUAAUUAGCUCCAACUUAACACUGUUAAGUUUAAAAGAAUUAUUAAAGCAAAUUAAAACAAAACAAUAAAGAAAAAAAUUAAAAACAUAACAUCCAACUUACCUACCCGACCCCGUGACUGCCAUCCUAUCCCACCCCUAAUUCCUCUCCAAUGUCCACAAAUCUCUCCCUCUCUUCCAUGAAUGUGCAUUAUAGUAGCUACGAUUUUUUCUCAUCGUAGGUUUAUCUUUUCAUCAUAGUUAAAUACCCGACCCCGACUGCCAUCAUAUAAAAAAAAUGGCAGCAUCGGCAUUUAGCAAGGAUUAAGAUGUAAUCAUAGUUGCUGAGUCAUCGAAUUGUGGAGAGAGAGAGAGAGAGAGAGAGAGAGAGAGAGAAUAGGAGAGGAGGUUGGCUGUGAGGAGGGAAUGAGGUUGCCAUGAGUGGGGUGGGGUGGGGUGUGUCAUGGGUGGCUGAUAGGUUUAUGUCUUUUUCUUUAUUUUUUUAAAAAAAUUUAUUUAGACUUUUUUUGUUUUUUUUUUUUGAGGACAUUUUCUAUUGAAAGGGACGAUAACAUAUUAAAUUCACACACACAAUACGGAUGCUAGGAUUCGAACCCAGGACCUUGCCUGAGGGAGUAAAUACUCCAAACCACUACACUAG
rnacentral:lncRNA from 1 species